rnacentral:rRNA from 1 species
AGGACGAACGCUGGCGGCGUGCUUAACACAUGCAAGUCAAGGGGGCCCAGCAAUGGGCAACCGGCGAACGGGUGCGUAACACGUGAGCAACCUACCGAAAUGUGGGGGAUAGCCGGCCUAACGGCCGAGUAAUACCGCAUACGCUCUCGAUGAGGCAUUUCAUUGAGAGGAAACCUACGGGACAUUUCGAGGGGCUCGCGGCCUAUCAGCUAGUUGGCGAGGUAACGGCUCACCAAGGCAACGACGGGUAGCUGGUCUGAGAGGAUGGUCAGCCACAUUGGGACUGAGAUACGGCCAGACUCCUACGGGAGCAGCAGUGGGAAUCUUGCGCAAGUGGCCUAACGGCUGACGCAGCGACGCCGCGUGUGGAUGAAGCUCGUCGGAGUAGUAAACCGACUGUUCGCCCGGACG